rnacentral:lncRNA from 1 species
AGUGCAUGAAAUGAUGUCUUAAGCAACAAUUGCUAACUUUUUUCGUUAUGCAAGGUUUAUUAAAGGUAAUGUGGUUGCAAAAGAAGAAAUCCCAGGUAGUGAUCACAAUACUGGUGAAGCCUUCUACAAGAACUUCAUCGUAAAAUCCCACAUGUGCCUGAGACCUGACUUUUCAGGAAUUCUUAGAAAUAGAUCGGAACAUUUUAUGUAUGGAAGAAAUAUUGAUGAUGAGAUAAUUAAGCAAGUUUUGAACUUGAAUACAGAAGAACAAUCCAAUGAAGAUGAAAAAUGUGAGGCCAUUCCAAGACCUACACUUGAAGCCACUGAAUGGCUGUCAGGUUUACAUUAUUUUUGACAGAUAACCAUAAUACUCGGGCGCUUCUAGCAGUCAAACAGUGAAGUUUUAUUA